rnacentral:rRNA from 1 species
UACGGGGGGGGCAAGCGUUGUUCGGAAUUACUGGGCGUAAAGGGCUCGUAGGCGGCCAACUAAGUCAGACGUGAAAUCCCUCGGCUUAACCGGGGAACUGCAUCUGAUACUGGAUGGCUUGAGUUCGGGAGAGGGAUGCGGAAUUCCAGGUGUAGCGGUGAAAUGCGUAGAUAUCAGGAGGAACACCGGUGGCGAAGGCGGUUCUCUGGGCCUUACCUGACGCUGAGGAGCGAAAGCGUGGGGAGCAAACAGG